rnacentral:lncRNA from 1 species
AUUAUGUUAUCAUUUGUGUACUGCAACAAUGUUGUGAAUUUUAUAUUUGAAAAAAAGAAAUGAAUCAAAUCUAAUAGACCUACCUGGUUACUUUACUACCAUUGACAAAUAUAAACAACAGAUCUUUGUAUGCCAUUUCUGAGUAUUGAGGGAUGCCUAUGUAUAUCUGGAUACUAUAAAUUUGUAACUAUCAAUUCCUGCCAACCUAGAUUUUAAACUAUCUCUUACGAGCUUCUACAACCAAGCCACACAUUAGCUCUAUUUGCUACAAGGUUAGCAAGAUAUACAAUUUAGUCUUGCUCCCAUCAUUGAACAUAUAUCAACUUGAAACAGUAUAUAAUAAAUAAUCUACAAAAUAUAAAGGGAAGAAUAAAGAUAUGAGUAGGAAAUUGGAAGAGAAUUUCAUAAUAGAAAGGUUCAGAAUAUCAAGUUUACCUUGUAUGUCUUCUUUGUUUCAGCUGAUGUUAGUGUUGCCUCGCAUGACUGCUUCUGGCUAAUUUUAGGUGUCGUGGGGUUGGAAGGUUCGUUUUUUUUUUUUUUGAAUCGGCUAAUACUAUUCUCGACAAAGUGUACAAAAACUGUACCGCUCGCGGAAAAAACGGAAAGAUAGAAAUGUACAAAAAGUGCCGCAAAUAUACGGGACACCAAAAGCCACCUCCCCAAAUAGAAAACAGCACACUAAAAGCCCAAAAUAGGAAAUUAUGAUGCUAAUACAUGCAGCACAGGAAAAGGGAAAACAACAACACAGAACAGCCCUUAAGCACUGCCUAUACAAUUGAUCCUAUGUACUUCAUCACUGCAUACCGAAGCCUCAAAACCAUCCAGCUAGAACUGUGCAUCUGUAAUAUGCGCUCCUAAAAACUCACAGCCGGUACACAAGCCCAAAAGCACCGCCAGUUACUUCACGUGAGAAGAAAAUCUCGACAGACUCACCAGUACUGUCACUACACCCCAAUUAGCUACUUCCUCGAUAGACAUUCUUGAGGAUUCCAAUUCCAUUCAUAAAAUAAACAUGCUUGUAUAUUCAGCCUACACAAACUCCACCGCCAUGAAUUAACCACAAUUUCCGCCAAAAGAUCAUCCACAUGUUUCACCUCAUUACGAAAAAUCAAAUGAUUCCUCGCUUGCCAAAUAGCCCAAAUAGUUGCAUGCCAAAUGAUCCACAAACCUUUCAAAUUAUCUACUUCCUCUAAAUUAACCACAAUUGGUAAUUUAC